CACCAAGAAGAUGAUUUAUAUAUUCAAUUUGGAUGCUAUUUAUAUUUAGUGUUCAAGUAGAAAUUCAGCCGGGAUGAUAGUGCAUGGUGUUGUUGUAAUCUAAUUAUAUUCAUUUAUAUUAUUCAUAUGCUGAGUCAUGGUGUUGCUGUGUGUGCUGAUGCUAUCAAAUUCUUACUGAAUUGUGCAUAAAGAAAGCUCAGUUUAAGUAAAAUGGCUGAUCAUUUUAAAAUUCCAGCUGUCAUAAGAAGAUUAAAGAAGGAGGAAGAUCAGAUAAAGAAUGAACCACCUGUUGGUUGUCAUGCUGAAUCAGUCUCAGAAAAUUAUAGAACCUGGAAAGCAACAAUACUAGGACCUGAAGGUACAAUAUAUGUGAAUUAUAAUUAUUAUGAAAUAUAU